rnacentral:rRNA from 1 species
UACGUAGGGUGCAGGCGUUAAUCGGAAUUACUGGGCGUAAAGCGUGCGCAGGCGGUCUUUUUAAGUCAGAUGUGAAAUCCCCCGGGGCUUAACCUGGGAACUGCGUUUGAAACUGGAAGGCUUGAGUGUGGCAGAGGGGGGGUGGAAUUCCACGGUGUAGCAGUGAAAUGCGUAGAGAUGUGGAGGAACACCGAUGGCGAAGGCAGCCCCCCUGGGCUAACACUGGACGCCUCA